AUGACACUUCCAAGCACAUUCAAAGGUUCAGUCAGUCCUUUUCCUGGGGUGGUUUUUUUCCACCUUGGCCAGCAAAGUUACACUCUCACUGCUUGCCCCAAAACCCGCCUGCAGCCCAGGGCUGGGGCACCACGCCUCACACUCCAGCGCCCCGAACCCCCAGCUGAGAGGGAGACAGCGGUCCCUCGAGGCCAGCAGCCACUGGCACUGUCCACGCGGAGGGAUGCGAGGGUGCGAGGAGCGGCUCCCAACCCCGCACCCCGAAUCCUCGACCCAACUUUGGCCCGAGAGUCCCACUUCUGGCGGCCCAGCCCCGAGCCGCGCGCGGGGGCCCGCUGCUCUCUCGCCUCUCCGGGGCUCCUCCGCCUCCUGCCCGGCGGCUCCUGGGGCGUCACUCGGCCUCAGUCCCCCCGGCGAUCCCCCCUGCAACUCCUCCACCACGGGCCCGAGGAGACCCCCCUCUCCGGGCGGCGGACACGGGCGGCUCGCGCCGGCUGCUCGCAAGUAGAGAUAACACCUCUUGGAGUUUGUCUCCCAUGA
rnacentral:lncRNA from 1 species